AUGAACGCUGGCGGCGUGCCUAAUACAUGCAAGUCGAGCGAACAGACGAGGAGCUUGCUCCUCUGACGUUAGCGGCGGACGGGUGAGUAACACGUGGAUAACCUACCUAUAAGACUGGGAUAACUUCGGGAAACCGGAGCUAAUACCGGAUAAUAUAUUGAACCGCAUGGUUCAAUAGUGAAAGACGGUUUUGCUGUCACUUAUAGAUGGAUCCGCGCCGCAUUAGCUAGUUGGUAAGGUAACGGCUUACCAAGGCGACGAUGCGUAGCCGACCUGAGAGGGUGAUCGGCCACACUGGAACUGAGACACGGUCCAGACUCCUACGGGAGGCAGCAGUAGGGAAUCUUCCGCAAAGGGCGAAAGCCUGACGGAGCAACGCCGCGUGAGUGAUGAAGGUCUUCGGAUCGUAAAACUCUGUUAUCAGGGAAGAACAAAUGUGUAAGUAACUAUGCACGUCUUGACGGUACCUAAUCAGAAAGCCACGGCUAACUACGUG
rnacentral:rRNA from 1 species